rnacentral:ncRNA from 2 species
CCUAGUAUCGUACCUGCUGGUGCCAAGGAAUCCUUCGUGGGAUUUUGAGGCGGUAAGAGGGAAUCCGGUGAGACUCCGGAACUGCCCCGCAGCGGUGAGUGGGAACGACAUCACCAUCGUCGCUUAUCCGGUUCUCGAAUCGGUUUGGCAGCGAUCAAGCACUGGGCUUCGGUCUGGGAAGCGGUGACGUAGGACUCGUCGGCAGAGAGGUGCCCACGAGUCCGAAUACCUGCCAGAGCGUGUGGUGCACU